AGAGUUUGAUCCUGGCUCAGGAUGAACGCUAGCUACAGGCUUAACACAUGCAAGUCGAGGGGCAGCAUGGUCUUAGCUUGCUAAGGCCGAUGGCGACCGGCGCACGGGUGAGUAACGCGUAUCCAACCUGCCUUACACUCUUGGACAGCCUUCUGAAAGGGAGAUUAAUACAAGAUGUUAUCAUGAGUAAGCAUUUUCGCAUGAUUAAAGGUUUACCGGUGUAAGAUGGGGAUGCGUUCCAUUAGAUAGUAGGCGGGGUAACGGCCCACCAAGGCAACGAUCAGUAGGGGUUCUGAGAGGAAGGUCCCCCACAUUGGAACUGAGACACGGUCCAAACUCCUACGGGAGGCAGCA
rnacentral:rRNA from 1 species